rnacentral:rRNA from 1 species
AACGAACGCUGGCGGCAGGCCUAACACAUGCAAGUCGAGCGAAGCCUUCGGGCUUAGCGGCGGACGGGUGAGUAACGCGUGGGAACGUGCCCUUUGGUACGGAAUAGCCCCGGGAAACUGGGAGUAAUACCGUACGUGCCCUUCGGGGGAAAGAGUUAUCGCCAAAGGAUCGGCCCGCGUUGGAUUAGGUAGUUGGUGGGGUAAUGGCCUACCAAGCCGACGAUCCAUAGCUGGUUUGAGAGGAUGAUCAGCCACACUAGGACUGAGACACGGCCCAGACUCCUACGGGAGGCAGCAGUGGGGAAUCUUAGACAAUGGGGGAAACCCUGAUCUAGCCAUGCCGCGUGAUCGAUGAAGGCCUUAGGGUUGUAAAGAUCUUUCAGUGGGGAAGAUAAUGACUGUACCCACAGAAGAAGCCCCGGCUAACUCCGUGCCAGCCGCCGCGGUAACAC